rnacentral:misc_RNA from 1 species
CAGAGUUGCAAGACUCCCUAAACCAUUGUGAACCUACCUUCUACCGUUGCUUCGGCGGGCGGGCCCAGCGCCCCCCCAGCCCCCCGCGGGCGCCCGCCGGAGGAUACCCAAACUCUUGACAUUAGUGGCCUCUCUGAGUAUUCUUUACUGAAUAAGUCA